rnacentral:rRNA from 1 species
GUCCACGCUGUAAACGAUGGAUACUUGUUGUUAGAGGUAUUGACCCCUCUAGUGACGCAGCUAACGCGUUAAGUAUCCCGCCUGGGGAGUACGGUAGCAAGAUUAAAACUCAAAGAAAUUGACGGGGGCCCGCACAAGCGGUGGAGCAUGUGGUUUAAUUCGAUGCAACGCGAAGAACCUUACCCGGGCUUGACAUGAACUGGAAGAGUGGCAGAGAUGUCCUCGCUCGCAAGAGUCGGUUCACAGGUGCUGCAUGGCUGUCGU